GACGAGGGGUCCAAGCGUUGUUCGGAAUUAUUGGGCGUAAAGCGGGUGUAGGUGGCUCUAUAAGUCAGGAGUGAAAUCCCCAAGCUUAACUUGGGAAGUGCUCUUGAUACUGCAGAGCUUGAAUGUGGGAGAGGAUAAUAGAAUUCCAGGUGUAGUGGUGAAAUACGUAGAUAUCUGGAGGAAUACCGGAGGCGAAGGCGGUUAUCUGGCCCAACAUUGACACUGAGACCCGAAAGCGUGGGGAUCAAACAGG
rnacentral:rRNA from 1 species